GACAGUUCGGUCCCUAUCCGUCGUGGGCGUAGGAAAUUUGAGAGGAGCUGUCCUUAGUACGAGAGGACCGGGAUGGACGCACCGCUGGUGUACCAGUUGUUCUGCCAAGGGCAUAGCUGGGUAGCUAUGUGCGGAAGGGAUAAGUGCUGAAAGCAUCUAAGCAUGAAGCCCCCCUCAAGAUGAGAUUUCCCAUAGCGUAAGCUAGUAAGAUCCCUGAAAGAUGAUCAGGUUGAUAGGUUCGAGGUGGAAGCAUGGUGACAUGUGGAGCUGACGAAUACUAAUAGAUCGAGGACUUAACCAUAUAA
rnacentral:rRNA from 1 species